rnacentral:rRNA from 1 species
CGCGCAGGCGGUCUUUCAAGUCAGUGGUGAAAGCCCGGAGCUCAACUCCGGAAUUGCCAUUGAAACUGUAAGACUUGAGGAUGAGAGAGGUGAGUGGAAUUCCCAGUGUAGAGGUGAAAUUCGUAGAUAUUGGGAAGAACACCGGUGGCGAAGGCGGCUCACUGGCUCAUUUCUGACGCUCAGGCGCGACAGCGUGGGGAUCAAACAGGAUUAGAUACCCUGGUAGUCCACGCCGUAAACGAUGAAUGCUAGCCGUUGGGCAGCUUGCUGUUCAGUGGCGCAGCUAACGCAUUAAGCAUUCCGCCUGGGGAGUACGGCCGCAAGGUUGAA